AUGAAACGCUGGCGGUCUGCUUAACAACAUGCAAGUCGAACGGACCCUUCGGGGUUAGUGGCGGACGGGUGAGUAACGCGUGAGAAUCUGCCUUCAGGUCUGGGACAACAGAAGGAAACUUCUGCUAAUCCGGGAUGAGCCUUUUAGGUAAAGAGAAAUUGCCUGGAGAUGAGCUCGCGUCUGAUUAGCUAGUUGGUGAGGUAAAAAGCUUACCAAGGCGACGAU
rnacentral:rRNA from 1 species